rnacentral:lncRNA from 1 species
UGGCCAACAAGGGUCCUUCCUAUGGCAUGAGCCGCGAAGUGCAGUCCAAAAUCGAGAAGAAGUAUGACGAGGAGCUGGAGGAGCGGCUGGUGGAGUGGAUCAUAGUGCAGUGUGGCCCUGAUGUGGGCCGCCCAGACCGUGGGCGCUUGGGCUUCCAGGUCUGGCUGAAGAAUGGCGUGUUCUGAGCAAGCUGGUGAACAGCCUGUACCCUGAUGGCUCCAAGCCGGUGAAGGUGCCCGAGAACCCACCCUCCAUGGUCUUCAAGCAGAUGGAGCAGGUGGCUCAGUUCCUGAAGGCGGCUGAGGACUAUGGGGUCAUCAAGACUGACAUGUUCCAGACUGUUGACCUCUUUGAAGCAAAGACAUGGCAGCAGUGCAGAGGACCCUGAUGGCUUUGGGCAGCUUGGCAGUGACCAAGAAUGAUGGGCACUACCGUGGAGAUCCCAACUGGUUUAUGAAAAAGCGCAGGAGCAUAAGAGGGAAUUCACAGAGAGCCAGCUGCAGGAGGGAAAGCAUGUCAUUGGCCUUCAGAUGGGCAGCAACAGAGGGGCCUCCCAGGCCGGCAUGACAGGCUACGGACGACCUCGGCAGAUCAUCAGU